AGUACAUUGAUGACAGUAUCUUAGUUACGUGUGACUAACUAACUGAUACAACAUACACAUAUGCCACGUGGAAAUCUCAGCCUACUAAAUUUACAUUUCACCGAAAUUCCAUCACAAUGUAACAUUCAUUCCUGAGAAUGAGCCAUACACCUAUGGUCUAUGGGCAUUGCAUAGGCUUUGCAUAACGUUAAAGGGACACUAUAGUCACCUGAACAACUUUAGCUUAUUGAAG